GCGCCAAAAGAUGUUAACUGCAAGUGGCGGGAAAAUUAAACUUUUUUUACUAAUAGUCCAUUUUCUUACAUAUAAUACCGAUUUUUGACUCCGAAGUUAUAAUAUUUAGACAAGUUACGUGUAAUAAGAUAUUCUGGUCCCGGUUCUAGCAAAAGCAACAAGAUAAGGUAAAUUUUUUUUUUGAGGGAGGGGUCACUAUUUUAUGUUUUCCAUGAAACAUGACAAACUAAUUGCACCGAUUUUAAGUUUGACUUUACUUCUUUUAGUUGCCCUCACUUGAACUAAUACCAGAAAAUCCCUACUAUAGAGACGGUAACCUGUCUAAAAAUCAUAUACUCCCGAGUCAAAGUUCGGUAAUACGAAAAGAGAUAAUGCAAAUUAAUUUGUCACUACUUAUAAAUUAAAGAAAGUUUGUGAUUAUUUUUGUGUGAACAACUUCAUUAUAUGAGCUUGAUACAAAAUUCAAGAUUCAUAUUAACAUUUCUCAAGAAAGAUAUUUUAUUCGUCGGUGUUACAUCGUCU
rnacentral:lncRNA from 1 species